rnacentral:rRNA from 2 species
ACAGACAGCCAGGAUGUUGGCUUAGAAGCAGCCAUCAUUUAAAGAAAGCGUAAUAGCUCACUGGUCGAGUCGGCCUGCGCGGAAGAUGUAACGGGGCUAAACCAUGCACCGAAGCUGCGGCAGCGACGCUUAUGUGUUGUUGGGUAGGGGAGCGUUCUGUAAGCCGUUGAAGGUGUGCUGUGAGGCAUGCUGGAGGUAUCAGAAGUGCGAAUGCUGACAUAAGUAACGAUAAAGCGGGUGAAAAGCCCGCUCGCC